GGAGAGUCUUGGUUUUGUGAGGCUUUGCUGGAACCCAAGGUGAACAGAGGACUGAGCUGUGACUGGAGACUUUUAGGUGUAGGUGAAUGGCGCUGUAAGUUCUUCAUCUUGUUGGUCACAGUCCUGAAAGGGAAUGAGAUAGGUUAGGUAAAUUGAGAACUAAUCAACGUGAUGUUGCCAAUGCUUAGAGACACUCCCUAAAUGACUAACAGGUCUACAUGCAGUGCUGAGCAGAAUCUGACCCAGAAUUUUCAGGCACAGUAAGGAAUGAAAGUCAGGCAUUGUGCUUUAUUGCCCUACUGACGCAUCUGUAGUGGCUAGCUGCCUGGAGGACUAUUGGUUUUGAGAUAAGGUCAAACUGUGGGGAGUGGCUGAAACUGUGGGGAGUGACAGAAACUGGAGACGAUCACAUGUGUGAGGCUGGGGCAAAGCCAGCCCUGAGAACAUGGAGAGCCAGAGGCGAGCCACGUGAACAAGCUCCCCCAGCUCUGAGAACGUGAGGUGCCCAAGGUGAGCCAGGCAAACAAGUUGCUAGG
rnacentral:lncRNA from 1 species